UAAUUAUUUACUAAAUAUUUAUCUAUAUGCACUUGAAUAUAGGAACAUGAUGUGCAAUUGAUUCUCACUGAUUACUGUAUGCCUGAUAUGACUGGUUAUGAUCUUCUGGUUGAGGUUCAGAAAUCACCCAAGCUUAACCAUCUCCCUGUGGUGAUUACAUGCACUGAGGACAUCCCUGAAAGGAUUAAAAUGUGCCUUGAUGGAGGUGCAAAGGACUACAUCAUCAAGCCCAUCAAAGUUGUCGAUGUGCCUCGCCUUCUGAGCUACAUUUGAUGAGCCAACAA